ACACACAGUGUACACGCACUACACACUCAAGCACCACACUCCCUGGACGUGCACAUCACCCGCCGCGCCCAGCCCAAACUUAAGAGCAAUAUGGUGAUGUGAGAGCACUGAUGGUGACCACGCACAGCCGGAAGAACAGAAUGGCAACACGGGAGCUCUUGGUCAUGACUGAGGUCGAACCCUCGCCCUACUGGAUGCUCCCAGGGCAGAUGUUCAUGGCCAUGGGAGAGGACUUAGCAAACCACAUCAGCCACAGGUUAAUACCCCCGGGAGAGAGAUUCAUCGUGUACUGGUGCGUGUUGGUACUCUCCGCUCAGCUGCACACCAUCUGCAUUUUGAUACACAACCUGGUACUACAAGUAAUUUAGUGCGUUCUUGUUCCUUUAUUAUUAAUUUGGACCUCCUAACUAACAGAACCUGAAUAGUAUGGGUUCUAGCCUCAUUUUUUUUUAGUAUACGAUUUUUAUCAAACAAAUAACUGGAGGUAUGCGUCCCUCCAGUUUAAGUCUAUAGUACACUAUUAUAUUCCCCACGGUAGAUCUUCCUCAGUUUUUUAAAGUUAUUGUCUAGUGUUAUUAGUGUGAGGUGCUUAACAAACCCUGGCAGUUGAAGCGCCUAAAAUAUAGAACAGUCUCAUGGUCUCCAAAUAAUACCUAUUUAUGGUACCUGGAAGUACUAUUUGAUAUAUUUAAUUUUUUUUUAUGAUAAUCUAGAUAAUAAACAAUACCGGCAUCUAUACAUUUUGCUUUAUUCUCUUCAUAAUCCAUUAAUAUCCCUUAAACUAUUUGCCAGUAACAAUUAUUUUCUUGACUAUGCAAUACUGUACAUGAAUAUAAAGACAAAAAUACCCCCUUCUUCUCUGUAUGAUCCACAACACUCCGGAGUAACAAAUAUUAAUACUGCCUCCUACAUCAAUAUUUUGUUCUCUAUAGCUUUCAUCAAUUCUACUAACGAUAAUUUAAUUCGUAUGCAAAUGAGCCAGUUGGGUAACUUUUCUUAAGUCACUUCAUCAAUUGACAACUGCCUUAGGUGAUCGUGAAUUAGUUUAAAAAAUGAAAUAAAUUAUAAUUAUAUGUCGUGUUAAGUAGAGUCCACAGUCACGGUUUCUUCUAGAAAUAUGGUUCUCUCUUGUAAACCCUAAUACAAUAGAGAGAGAAACUCGGCUCCUCGUUGAUUACCAGAUAUGAAAGUAAGUUUUCUACCUAAUAUGUCAUUCAAAUAACAUCUCAAUAACGUUUGGUUCAAUUCCAUAAGUUAUAUCUACUACUAACCGUGUAUUCCACCAGUACCAGUAUUAGUAAUUUCAAUGUAUUUCUUUAUCAGUAUUUUUCUUCCACUGGACAGUUGUAUACAGAGUUAUUAUGAACACCAAGGAAUAUAACGUAUCAACUCACUACUAAAUAUUUUCUGGUAUACAAUGAAUGACAGGGUUAACGCCUCCUCCCUCACUCACAGCCAAGACGACACUGACUGGUGACUUGUUUGGUACUUAUCACUUGCUACUUCAUAUGUUUUUGCUGCUAUAGAAUAUCCAAGCACUAAUACUGUUUAAUUGACACAUAGUGACCUCUUUACCGCCAAGAUUUAGUGAAUAGUAUAUAUCUUUGAACUGUUACCGUACUGAAUCCAGGGAAACUUUCUAGGUAUCUUGUUUGAGUUUGUAUAAUGAGGGCGCCAAUUCAUUCGUUCUUUUAAAGGAUUUCUGAAUAUACAGUAAAUCAUAUAUAUAAGAGCAAGUAUGUUCAACUAAUGCCUAGCUUUGCCAUUAUGACCAAGUGAUUUUGAUGACAAUAGCUCAGGUUAGGAAAAUUAUACUUGAUCUCAGACAGUUCUGAUUAUUCCAACUUUUUUUUUUUUUAGUUUAUGGUAAAAAUCUUGCAGCAGAUUUUGGGUUGGUGUCAUAUGACCUACAGCCUAUUAAAAUUUGUCAAAGGAGACAUACCGAAAUGUGUUAACUUAAUACAAUGGUUAUGUAACUUAUUUUGAUGAAAUUAUUGGUAAUCGUUGAAGGAAUAAUGUCACAUUUAAGUAUUUCAAUCUGGCUAAUGCCAAACGAUUUAUUAGAGCAAUCCCUAUCACUAAAUGGAUCAAACACCUUGAAUUUUUUUUACAAAGAUAAAAUAACGUAAUUUAAAUAUAACUAACACUGAAAUUCUGUUGAAUGUAGAGGUCACAGUUGUUUCGGUCAGCCAGUACAGUACAGAGUAACACCUGCACUGGUGACUAAGCCAGGGGUGAGGGAUGGGGGUCAAUUCCUUUUACCUUCACUGUAGCGUAAAUUUAACUUAAUUUUAAUAUUUACUUUUUUAAUUUAAGAUGAUAAAUAUUAUACCAGGUACUGUAAUUAUUAUUAUGAACACAGUACAAUCUUAGGGCCAUAACAGCCAAGGUCAUAUGGCACCGUGGGUACUGUAAUUAAUUGUCAAGAUAUGAGUAAAAUAAUUUCCACC